rnacentral:lncRNA from 1 species
GGACUCCUGAAAAGGCAGGCGGGGUAAGGGGGACAGGGGCGGGGUUCCGCGCAUGGCCGGAAGUGCCCCGGCGGGGUCUCGAGCCUGGUUCAGCCGCUGCUGGGGUAGCUAGCGGGCUGACCGCGCGCUUGUCGGGCGGUAGGAAGAACGGUAGCCUAGGAGACCCCGGAGCGUGCACGCCCACGCGCCUGCGGAGAGGCAAAAUCUAAGCGCGCUACGUUUGCAAACUCAACUGACCUGGAUUUGAGGCCUGCCCCUUCCCCCUUCCAGCUGUGUGACCUUGGGCUGGUCACUGGCUUCUUUAUGGCCCUAAAAUGAGGUCUCACCCGAUCCCGAAGGACCCUUUGGACGUCAGCAUCCUUUGAUCCUAGAGCUGACCGGAGUGUUCCACGGUUCUUCGGGACCAAGGUGGGAGAAUCAGGGAAAAGAGCAUUUUCUGAAUUAGCUGCUAAACCUCCUGAAUUAGCGAGAAUUCAGGGUUCCAGGGAGGGCACUCUUCUCUCCGCCAUCCAGAGACUGCCAGGUGGCAGCGAUAUUAGCGCACUCGCCCCCAAUGCGGGAAGAAGCUCUGCCUUCUCAGGACUCUGUCCAUUCCGAAAAAGGGAGACUAGGAGAUGAGGGUAUGGCUGGUGUGCUUUUGUCAGCUAGGUCCCAGGACCAUGUGGGAGUGGGAGCCUUGAAUGGAUAGAAAUAUUUGGUGUUUCAGGAAUCUGUGGCAUUUAAAGAUGUGGUCAUAGAUUUUACUCAGGAGGAGUGGAGACAACUAGACCUUCCUCAGAAAGAUCUGUACAAGGACCCGAUAUUGGAGAAGUAUAGCAAUCUGAUUUUGCUGGGUAAGAACAAUUGCCUUUUAGUGCAUCUUCAGCUCUCUAAUUUUUAAAACCCUAAGUAUCAUCUGAAGUGUAUAAUUAAUAUUUGGCUUAGGAUUUGUGGGUUAUAAAUAUCUAAAUUUCCUGCACCUGGGAACAUAUUGUUUCAUUC